UACGUAGGGUGCGAGCGUUAAUCGGAAUUCCUGGGCGUAAAGCGUGCGCAGGCGGUUCGUUGUGUCGGCGGUGAAAGCCCCGGGCUUAACCUGGGAAUGGCCGUUGAAACUGGCGAACUGGAGUGUGGCAGAGGGGGGUGGAAUUCCGCGUGUAGCAGUGAAAUGCGUAGAGAUGCGGAGGAACACCGAUGGCGAAGGCAGCCCCCUGGGCUAACACUGACGCUCAGGCACGAAAGCGUGGGGAGCAAACAGG
rnacentral:rRNA from 1 species